UACAGAGGUCUGAAGCGUUGUUCGGAUUCAUUGGGCGUAAAGGGUGCGUAGGCGGCGCGGUAAGUCGGGUGUGAAAUCUCGGGGCUUAACUCCGAAACUGCAUUCGAUACUGCCGUGCUUGAGGACUGGAAAGGAGACUGGAAUUUACGGUGUAGCGGUGAAAUGCGUAGAUAUCGUAAGGAAGACCAGUGGCGAAGGCGGGUCUCGUGGACAGUUCCUGACGCUGAGGCACGAAGGUCAGGGGAGCAAACGGG
rnacentral:rRNA from 1 species